rnacentral:lncRNA from 1 species
UUAAACUAUUUACUACUUGAAAAUCAUCUUAAGCAUCAUCUUUUUCAAGCUUUGAAAUAAUCUAUAAGGUGAAUAUUAUUCCCAUUUUUCAGAUGAGGAACCUGACAUUACAUAACUUGCUUCUUCCAAGUGCCUCCUCCAAAGGUCAAAGCUGGGGCCACACAGGUGGGUGCCUACCACCCUGAAAGGCACAGUCCUCUGAUGUCCCCAUCUGAUGCAAAGAGUCCAGUUCUUGUGUUGUGAACACAAGUAGAUCCACUCCUCUUUGAGACUGAUUCCCUGGAAGGGAUCCCAUGCCACUGCCUGGCCCAAGACUCUUGGCUGCAGGAAGCUGACCUGCUUUUAUCCACAGAGUCAGCAAAAUGUGAAGAUAAUUUAUAAUAGCCAUUAGCAGAGUGCAUUUGAGGUCAAGUAUGAACUUCCUGAACUUCAGCUCUACACAGAUCUGUGCAGGAGCAAAGAGGAGUCAAAUUUCUGGAAGCAAUCUAACCAUAACAAACGAAGACUGUGUUGCUUCAAGGCUUUUAGGCUUUGAAGUUGUUAAGAAAUUUGCUCUGCCCUCCCUACUGUCCUCAAAGGAGAUGUGACUUCUUCCCUGGGUUACCCUAAGGAUACACCACCCUUCAGUACCUGACGGGGCCAAGGGCCAGGAAAGGGGGCAGCAACUGAAUUCCUCUCUGGGAUCUGACUGGCCUCAGAAGAGAGAAACACCACGUGGACUGGAGCAGAACCACAGUUCUGUGAGCUGUGAGUUCGUCAGAGAGAUGUCCCUGACAACAACAGCUGGGUUUGUGAUUGUGAUUCCCCUGGCAGCUCUGUGAAUCCAUGUGCUCAUCUUUCCUGACAUGAGCCUCUCCUCCUUGCACGAUGGGAUUUUUACUAUCCACCUGGAGCAGCUGAGGUCCAGAGAGGCCAAGGAAAUAAACGAGAAGGACAACAGCAGGAUUCGAAGCCAAAUGCCACAUAGCGUACAUGCCUGAAUGAGGGCAUGGGUUCCCUAAAAAACCCUCCCUUCCUUUAUGCUACACAGGCUCUUGUACCAUUCCCAAUUAUGCCCCAUUGGAAGUAUCUUGUAAUUCUUUAACUAUUCUUGUACACAGCUCUAACACCUCUGAUUGUCGGGGAUUCAUGUACACCUGUGAAGACUAAAGGGUACAGCAAAGCAUUUAAUUUUCUCAGCAAAUCAUCCACUGGUUCAUAUAGAAGCAGCCUUAGAUAGGCAAAUGGGUGUUCUCUUUGCUCUCUUUGCCUCCCUUAUGACCCCC